rnacentral:rRNA from 1 species
UUGAAAGAUGGCAUCAUCAUUCAACCAAAGGAGCAAUCCGCUAUGAGAUGGACCCGCGGCGCAUUAGCUAGUUGGUGGGGUAACGGCCUACCAAGGCGACGAUGCGUAGCCGACCUGAGAGGGUGAUCGGCCACAUUGGGACUGAGACACGGCCCAGACUCCUACGGGAGGCAGCAGUGGGGAAUAUUGCACAAUGGGGGAAACCCUGAUGCAGCAACGCCGCGUGAGUGAUGAAGGUUUUCGGAUCGUAAAACUCUGUCUUUGGGGAAGAUAAUGACGUACCCAAGAGAAGUMCGRWYUUG